GUCUUUUUGAUUAUAAUUUAAAGUCUAACCUGCCCAAUGAGUAUUUGAAUGGCCGCGGUAAUUUGACCGUGCAAAGGUAGCAUAAUCAUUAGUUUUUUAAUUGAAAGCUGGAAUGAACGGUUGGACGAGAAAAUAACUGUCUCAAUUUAAUUGACUAUAGAAUUUUAUUUAUAAGUAAAAAAGCUUAUAUAAUUUUAAAAGACGAGAAGACCCUAUAGAGUUUUAUAUUUUUUUAUAUUAAUUAGUUUUAGUAUAUUUAUAUUUUUGAUAUAAUGAAAUAUUUUGCUGGGGCAGCAGAAAAAUUAGUUAAACUUUUUUUAUUUAUAUUACAUUGAUUUAUGUGUUAAUGAUCCAUUUUUUAUGAUUAUAAGAUUAAAUUACCUUAGGGAUAACAGCGUAAUUUUUUUUUAGAGUUCUUAUCGAAAAAAGAGUUUGCGACCUCGAUGUUGG
rnacentral:rRNA from 1 species